CUGAUGGCGGCGUUUGGGUGGAAAUCGGAAUCGAUCGCCCAAUUCCCCUCCGCACCGGAGGCAGGUACUCGGUGGGGCAGCGCCUUAACGUCAG
ncrna:unclassified sequences L4-Archaeoglobi ribosomal protein leader